UAGGUACCAUGCAUAUUAUUGCCUAUACUAGCUCAAAAGGAUUAUUAUCAGUUAGCCAAAUAGACAGCUAGUAAAUAGUUAUCUUAAUGGAUUAAUAUCAGAAAAUAUUGUAAUGCUCUAUUUAGUAUUAUUAAAUUAAAUCUUUCACAUACAUUAUAUUACAUCAUCUUCACAGCAACCUUAUGGGUCAGGUAGAACAGACAUUAUCACCAUUUCCACACAACAAUUGAGAUUUCUCCACUGAAUUGACUUUUCACCUUUUGUCAAAAAUCAAUUGUUCGCAUAUAGGUGGAUCUAUUUCUUGAUUUCCUACCCAAUUUUAUUGACCUAUUUGCUUUUUUAUAGCAAUACCACACAAAGUUGCUUUAUAAUAAGUCUUGAAAUAGGGUAAUGUUAGUCCUACAGUUUUGCUCUUCUCUUUUAGAGUUAUUUUGACACUAUUGAGCUCUUUGCGUUUCCAUA
rnacentral:lncRNA from 1 species